rnacentral:rRNA from 1 species
CCUACGGGAGGCAGCAGUAGGGAAUCUUCCACAAUGGACGAAAGUCUGAUGGAGCAACGCCGCGUGAGUGAAGAAGGGUUUCGGCUCGUAAAGCUCUGUUGGUAGUGAAGAAAGAUAGGGGUAGUAACUGGCCUUUAUUUGACGGUAAUUACUUAGAAAGCCACGGCUAACUACGUGCCAGCAGCCGCGGUAAUACGGAGGUGGCAAGCGUUGUCCGGAUUGAUUGGGCGUAAAGCGAGUGCAGGCGGUUCAAUAAGUCUGAUGUGAAAGCCAUCGGCUCAACCGGAGAAGUGCAUCAGAAACUGGUGAACUUGAGUGCAGAAGAGGAGAGUGGAAUUCCAGGUGUAGCGGUGGAAUGCGUAGAUAUAUGGAAGAACACCAGUGGCGAAGGCGGCUCUCUGGGCUGCAACUGACGCUGAGGCACGAAAGCAUGGGUAGCGAACAGGAUUAGAUACCCUUGUAGUC